AGUUAGGGGACUGAUGCGCCAUCUAUUAGCGGUAACAGCACCUGAAUUCACAGCAACUUGUUACUAAGCACUGCGUGGUGAUAGAAUGCGUUGACAUAUCCUUUUGGUAGCGGAGAGAGAGAAACUUUUAUUGUUUAAAAGGAUUUUCGUGGAAUGUCGUGAGCCCCUUUAGCGGAGAGAUGUAUCACAGGUGAUGGGGCGAAAGCUUUGUAAAUGCUUAUUAUACCAAUUUGGGUACUUGCCGGUGUUUAAGCAGAAAGCACACAGUGAGCUUCACUUAUUAUUGCAGAGCUCAGCGGCCAACUGACGCGAUAGCAUGGAUAUGACAACGUAGAGUAGCAAGCGAGAGCGCCGACUCUGCCAGCCGAGGCGACUUGUCACAGCGCCGCGAGCGCCGCUACGUCGUCGUGCGGCGGCCUGUGGAGGCAACCCGGGCUGUCGCCCCCGGCUGAUAAGCGAGGGCGCCGUUGAGGUUUCCCAUGGCCGCUACGUGCCGUAUUUCAAAGGCGCAUCAGCGGGGCAACGCUUCUGACGCUUCGCUUCGCCGCCGUGCAACUGGGCCGCAACUCGGGCGACACUCUUCUGUCAACAGCUACUGACAACGUUUCGCUCGACCAAGCGUGGUCAACGCCGUUGGCCAGUGCCUGCUGAUUCCUGGCGCAUCGGGACGCGUGUCUGGUCAAGGUGCAUGGGUCCUCUUCUGUGCGCAUGCAGCCCUGUCCACUUGUACCGAUGUUGAGAAGCGGGGACCCAAGUCCGAAUUCACAGAGGCACCUUGGACGCUGGAAAAGGAACGGCAAGAUCGGUGCGUCCGCUCCUUUUUGCAGACACUCGUGCUCACCAAUUCUCAUUGAGACCUGUUCCACACAGCAUUUCUUGUGCUACGGAGCUGUUUGUAAGAACGGGCGCCGAGUCGAGUCGGUGACUGGACGGCGUGACUGGCCAAUAAUGACGUCCGAUUCUGACGGACGGAAAGCUUCGUGAGUUCAGUCCCAGCGCCCGUAUUUGCUGAGCAGACACCGCACUCCCAAAGCUUCUGGUUCAUAAGUGUUCUUGCCAUUGGCCAGCCGCCUCCGCUAGUAUAAUAUGUCCAGCAUCAAGAUUGGCUGCAAUUUUCUAUUGCGAACAAGGCUAGCGUAAGACCGUUUCGUGAAUAAUGGUCGAGUUUCGCAAUAGAGCGGUUCGUAAAAAACACGCGCCGGUCACUUCUAUCAGCAAACAUAUUAUUCACGAACGAGGUCGGUCAGUAACGAACAGUUAAUACGAACGAAAAGCUUUGGGAAUUGUCGCCUGGAGGCCGUAUUAACAAAGCUUUUCGUUCGUAAGAGCCUUGUUUUCUUUGUUUCUUUCUUUCUUUCUGUUUUGCAUGCGCUUGAAUACGGGCCCUGAGCCAAUAAAUAUUACAGCACUUACGCUAGAACUCUUCGUAAGAACAGCCGUUAGCCAAUCGUGAUGACGGGCAUAUAUUAUUAGUGAAGCUGGUCGUCCAAUGGCAAAGAACGAAAGACUGUUAAUUCGGCUCUUCGGCCUGCAUUCACAAACUAUAGUUCUUGCGCUAUAGAACUGUUCCUAAGAGCAGUUUUCAGUGAAUAGUAAUCUUGGACAUACCCAUUAACGAAAACGGCUUGCCAGUAAUGGCAAACAGUUCUUACGAACAAAAAACUGAGAAUUUGACCCUUGCGCCGACAAACAGCCACUCUCCGUUGCUUUCGCGCAAGGUCCGAUCGGUGCCUGAGAUCAACCUCGCAUCCGAGCAAGUCGGCGACGCAUCGGACGUCCUUACCUGGGGAAGCUAUGUGAAUUACGCCGAAUGGGCGGCGCGCUAUAUUGUAACAUCGUGUGGCUAUAAACCAAUUGCUUUCCUUAUCGUUUCGUCUGCGCUCGCGUUCCUCAUUUGCACUGAUAACGUCUACCACAGGAGUUACAUACUGCUGUCUUCUUUGCUUGAAAAUGAAUAAGUUCCUUAUAGCAACUGCAUUCGGAAAGCAAGUUCUGGGAACACUACUACCUGUACCGCAAGGUGACAGAUAUGACUGUUACCAUACAGCUGUUGAACGUGUCUCUGCGUGGUUGAUUCUCGUCAGUCUCUUCAGAAUUAUUUCUUCCCGUUUUCGUACGUGUUCAUCUGAAGAACGACAAACGUCGACUCGUUUCCGCAUUUCGCGUUUUUCAUUUCGCGUUGUUCUACAUCAUUCUCGAACGGAAGCGGCGUCGCACAAAAGCGCGGGACAGCAUUUGUGACGCCGAGCAGCGCGCUGUUGAAUGUCCGCACAGAUGGCUGUAAACUCGCUUGUUAGCAGCUGCCAUUUCGUUUCGUCCAACGUGUUUUCCGACAACGUAUAUCAUCAUUGUAAUACGGAGAGAUGCUAUGUUGAAAAAGAAAGAAAGAAAGAAAGAAAGAAAGAAAGAAAGA